UACGUAGGGGGCUAGCGUUGUCCGGAAUCAUUGGGCGUAAAGAGCGUGUAGGCGGCCCGGUAAGUCCGCUGUAAAAGUCAAAGGCUCAACCUUUGAAUGUCAGUGGAUACUGCCGGGCUAGAGUCCGGAAGAGGAGAGUGGAAUUCCUGGUGUAGCGGUGAAAUGCGCAGAUAUCAGGAAGAACACCCGUGGCUAAGGCGGCUCUCUAGUACGGUACUGACGCUGAGACGCGAAAGCGUGGGGAGCGAACAGG
rnacentral:rRNA from 1 species